rnacentral:rRNA from 1 species
CCGGGGGGAGCAAGCGUUGUUCGGAUUUACUGGGCGUAAAGGGCGCGUAGGCGGCCACCGCAAGUCGACUGUGAAAUCUCCGGGCUUAACCCGGAACGGUCAGCCGAUACUGCGGGGCUAGAGUGCAGAAGGGGCAACUGGAAUUCUCGGUGUAGCGGUGAAAUGCGUAGAUAUCGAGAGGAACACCUGCGGCGAAGGCGGGUUGCUGGGCUGACACUGACGCUGAGGCGCGAAAGCUAGGGGAGCGAACGGGAUUAGAUACCCCGGUAGUCCUAGCCUUAAACGAUGAAUGCUUGGUGUCUGGGGUUUUAUAGUCCCCGGGUGCCGUCGCUAACGCUUUAAGCAUUCCGCCUGGGGAGUACGGUCGCAAGACUG